rnacentral:SRP_RNA from 1 species
GCUGGGCAUGGUGGUGUGUGCCUGUAAUCCCAGCUACUUCAGGAGGCUGAGAUGGGAGGAUCGCUUGAACCUGGGAGGCAGAGGUUGCAGUGAGCCGAGAUCACUACAUUGCACUCCAGCCUAGGUGACAGAGUGAGACUCCAUCUCAA